rnacentral:rRNA from 1 species
GCAAGUUGCACGGCGCCAUGCCUCUCGGGGGAUGGCGCAGUGGCGGACGGGUGAGGAGCGCGUAAGGACCUGCCCCUGGGAGGGGGAUAACAGCUGGAAACGGCUGCUAAUACCCCAUAGCCUGAGGAGGGAAAGGAGAGAUCCGGCCAGGGGGGGGCUGGGGUCUGAUUAGGUAGUUGGGGGGGGUAAUGGCCUCCCAAGGCAACGAUCAGUAGCUGGUCUGAGAGGAUGAUC